rnacentral:rRNA from 1 species
AAUGAACGUUGGCGGCGUGGAUUAGGCAUGCAAGUCGAGCGAGAAGCCUUCUUCGGAAGGUGGACAGCGGCAAACGGGGUAGUAAGGCAUCGGUUACGUACCCCCGGGACCGGGAUAGCCGCGGGAAACUGCGGGUAAUACCGGAUAAUAUCUCUGGAUCAAAUGGUGAGAUUCCGCCCGGGGACCGGCUGAUGUGAUACCAGCUAGUUGGUGAGGUAACGGCUUACCAAGGCGAAGACGUCUAGGGGGUGUGAGAGCAUGGCCCCCACCACUGGGACUGAGACACUGCCCAGACACCUACGGGUGGCUGCAGUCGAGAAUCUUCGGCAAUGGGCGAAAGCCUGACCGAGCGACGCCGCGUGCGGGAUGACGGCCCUUGGGUUGUAAACCGCUGUCAGAGGGGAUGAAAUUCUAGAAGGCUAUCCUUCUAGUUUGACAAAGCCUCAGAGGAAGCCCGGGCUAAGUACG